AGCUCGGGCAAACUGGUGGCCGUCAAGAAGAUGGACUUGCGUAAGCAGCAGAGACGUGAGCUGCUCUUCAAUGAGGUGGGUGCUGGCCGGCAAGCCCAGUGCUGUGCCUUCCUCUCCUCACAGCUGUUCCCAGCCUAAGACUCUUGGCUGUGCCUCUGUCAUACCAAGUGCCCGUGACUCUCUUCCAACUAGUCCUGGGCCUGUGCUCUCCCUCCAGACCUCUCCUCUCAGGGCUCCUGUCUCUGGGAUGCUCUGCCGUACCUCACCCCAGACCACAGCCCAGCAUCCCCUCCUCCAGUCCCUCUUCUGUGACGCCUCCUUCAGCCUUGGGCUCCUGCUCCAGCUUUUCUCUCGGCCUCCCCUGGACACUCCGUAUAUAACAUCCAAGACAGACCCUCCUAAUGUCUCCCAUGUCCUCAAGUCAGAGCCCAGCUCCUUGCUCCUCAGAUCCUGGUCCCAGCUCAGAACCAGGCACUUGGUUCAACCCAAUUUCUGGCUCUGUCAGCCUUGGCAUCCAUCACAAAGGCAGUUCUGAAGUGUGUGUGGGUAUGAUAGGCCUCCUGCCCCUGCUACAGGAGUCCCCUGAGGUCCAGCUCGGGGGCUGUCCAGGCUGCUUGCCUGUCUCCUAACACUUCUACCCCACAGCCCAGGGCUCCAUCCACA
rnacentral:lncRNA from 1 species